GAGGAAAAGAAACCAACAGGGAUUGCCCCAGUAACGGCGAGUGAAGCGGCAACAGCUCAAAUUUGAAAUCUGGCUUCGGCCCGAGUUGUAAUUUGCAGAGGAAGCUUUAGGCGCGGCACCAUCUGAGUCCCCUGGAACGGGGCGCCACAGAGGGUGAGAGCCCCGUAUAGAUGGACGCCUAGCCUGUGUAAAGCUCCUUCGACGAGUCGAGUAGUUUGGGAAUGCUGCUCAAAAUGGGAGGUAAAUUUCUUCUAAAGCUAAAUACCGGCCAGAGACCGAUAGCGCACAAGUAGAGUGAUCGAAAGAUGAAAAGCACUUUGAAAAGAGGGUUAAAUAGCACGUGAAAUUGUUGAAAGGGAAGCGCUUGUGACCAGACUUGCGCCGGGCGGAUCAUCCGGUGUUCUCACCGGUGCACUCCGCCCGGCUCAGGCCAGCAUCGGUUCUCGUGGGGGGAUAAAGGCACCGGGAACGUAGCUCCUCCGGGAGUGUUAUAGCCCGGGGCGUAAUGCCCUCGCGGGGACCGAGGACCGCGCAUCUGCAAGGAUGCUGGCGUAAUGGUCAUCAGCGACCCGUCUU
rnacentral:rRNA from 1 species